CCGCUUUAGCUCAGUUGGUAGAGCACAUCAUUCGUAAUGAUGGGGUCGCGUGUUCGAGUCACGCAAGCGGCACCA
rnacentral:tRNA from 3 species